rnacentral:rRNA from 1 species
GACGAACGCUGGCGGCGCGCUUAACACAUGCAAGUCGAGCGAAGCGGCGGACGGGUGAGUAACACGUGAGUAACCUGCCUUAGAAAUUGGGAAAGCCUCGGGAAACCGGGAUUAAUACCAAAUGGUCUAAGAUGGACUCGCGUCCCAUUAGCUAGUUGGUGGGUAACGGCCCCCCAAGGCGACGAUGGGGAGCCGGGUUGAGAGGGUAACCGCCCACAUUGGAACGGAGAAGCGGUCCGAAAUAUACGGGAGGCAGCAGUGGAGAAUAUUGCACAAUGGAGGGAACUCUGAUGCAGCGAGGCCGCGUGAACGAAGAAGGCUUUCGAGUCGUAAAGUUCUUUUAUAUGGGAAGCGGUACCAUAAGAAAAAGCCCCGGCUAACUACGUGCCAGCAGCCGCGGUAAUAC